GACGAACGCUGGCGGCGUGCUUAACACAUGCAAGUCGAACGAAGUGGCGAACGGGUGAGUAACGCGUAAUCAACCUGCCCUUUAGAGGGGGACAACAGUUGGAAACGACUGCUAAUACCGCAUAAUGAAGAAGGGGGUUGCGUCAGAUUAGCUAGUGGGAGGGUGAACGGCCCACCAAGGCGAUGAUAAGUAGCCGGUCUGAGAGGCUGAACGGCCACAGUGGGACUGGGACACGGCCCAGACUCCUACGGGAGGCAGCAGUGGGGAAUCGUCCGCAAUGGACGAAAGUCUGACGGAGCAACGCCGCGUGAGUGAUGACGGCCUUCUGGUUGUAAAGCUAUGUUAAUCGGGACGCGGUACCGGAAUAGAAAGCCACGGCUAACUACGUGCCAGCAGCCGCGGUAAUUC
rnacentral:rRNA from 1 species